rnacentral:rRNA from 1 species
CCCGCUCAGAAACUCAAAUGAAUUGACGGGGCCCGCACAAGCGGUGGAGUAUGUGGUUUAAUUCGAUGCAACGCGAAGAACCUUACCUGGUCUUGACAUCCCGGAGACCCUUAGGAAACUAGGGGGUGCUUCCAUCUGGAAGAAUCUGGAGACAGGUGCUGCAUGGCUGUCGUCAGCUCGUGUCGUGAGAUGUUGGGUUAAGUCCCGCAACGAGCGCAACCCUUGCCUUUAGUUGCCAGCAGUUCGGCUGGGCACUCUAAAGGGACUGCCGGUGUUAAACCGGAGGAAGGUGGGGAUGACGUCAAGUCCUCAUGGCCUUUAUGACCAGGGCUACACACGUACUACAAUGGCCGAUACAAAGGGCAGCGACACUGCGAGGUGAAGCCAAUCCCGUAAAAUCGGUCUCAGUCCGGAUUGGAGUCUGCAACUCGACUCCAUGAAGUUGGAAUCGCUAGUAAUCGUGGAUCAGCAUGCCACGGUGAAUACGUUCCCGGGCCUU